UUCGAACAUAGGUGUCUCCGAAGCAUUGCUCGAGUAUCGUGGGACAACCGAGUGAGCAAUGCUGUCGUUAGGAAAAGGGGUUCUAG
rnacentral:precursor_RNA from 1 species